AGCAGGAUUAAUAUAAAAUUGGGUUGCAAGCUCGGCUGUUUUUCUCACGUAGUUGUGACGUUUCUCCAUCCGAAGACGAGCAAAACGCAGUGCAGACUGACCUCCUCUUCCAUGUUUUUUGGGCAGAUCAACACUAAACUUGUGAAGGACCUCCCUGGUAUUGCCACUCAAUGUCCCAAAAAGUGUCCCAUUCCCAUCCAUCACAAUAAACCCGAACUUGUCAUCGGAUUCUAGAAGUUCAUUCAGGGCUUCUGUAUGGAACUUGUUAUCACAAAGAUACAAGGAGGCAUUGAUGGGCUUGAACGGUUCAAAAUCUAUUGUAACCUUCUUCUCUUUUCCGUCAUCAGUAACGAUCGUUCCAGUGUACAGCACCAAUCCAUUUGUAGGGACCUUGUUGUAUAGUUUCAGCCGCUGCUGAGCAGAGGUAAUGGCCCCCAAAACAGACUGCCGAUUCACUCUACUCUUGAUGUUUGACGCAGUCCCGUAUUCAUCGCCAAGCAUCUUAGCAACUCGAGAGAUUUGAUCUCUUGGCGGCAUAAUGAGAGAAAU
rnacentral:misc_RNA from 1 species